UCCUCUUCAAGCCAUUUUACUUUUUUCUUCUGUGUGCCACACCAAUCCAGACCAGAAAGUUGCUAUAGCAGAUGAAGUGACUAUUUUUCUGAUUAUUAUUUUAGAUCCUCCAACUUGGCCUGGUGCAACCACAAAACAAAGGUUGCACUGGAAAGACUUUUGCAAGUGGAACUGUUUGUGGAUAACAACACUAAAGACAUAUGCUCAGCACUGGCACUGAAGAGGCUGUCAUCAAGGUGAGAAGGCCAAAAAAAGAGCUGUGGAAGCACAUCCCUACUUGGACGUCUAUUUAUUUGCAUGCCUAUGGACUAAACACAGGUGUGAAGAGGGAGCUGGAAAUGACAUAAAGGGAAACAAAAAGGGACAGCAACAUGAACAAGUACCUGGAGAAUCCACCCAGAACUCAUCACUAUAAAGGCAGAAGAAUAUUGUGAGCCAAAGAAAGACGGUGCUGAAACCAAAUGUCAUGGGAGUGAUGUCUGCGUAAAGAUGCAAAUGGGAAGCGGAAUAGUAGCACUCAGGAACAUCGUUGUUGCUACAGCAGUUCAGAACCGUGGUCUUCAUACGUCUUGCAGGUGGUCAGAGCUGCCAGAUCUCCAGGUUUUACCACCUUUUGCAAGCUGACAGAUUUGCUCAAUCUCCCUCACUUGGCUCCAUGCUGCUCUAACUGAGGGUCAGCAGCUGAAGAUGUUUCAUCUCCAGUGGCAGGAGAAUACCAGCAGAGUCAGCCCAUGUCUGCCUGCAAACAUCCAUGUAGAAAUACCUUCAUUAAUAGCAUCCAGUGUAAGGCUUGAAUGCAAGGCUUAAUAGCCCUUCUGAAAUGUUUGGUAUCUUUAAUUAUACCCAUGACUCUUCCAGAUAUUCAUAUAAAUGUCUAAUCCUUUUUAAAUCCUAUUACUUUCUUGUCCUCCAAGAGCCUCUAUGAUAAGGAGUUUCACAGUUUUUAUACAUCUUGUGUGAAAGAUUUUUUUUCUAAUUUAUCAUUAGUUAAUUUUCCACCUUUUGGUUUUAUUAAAUGCCCUUCACACUCUCCCGGUGAGCUAGGAAACUUAUGGAUCUACAUUUAUUGCAUUGUUUUUUUGUACAGUGUCUCUUCUCGCGUCUCUCAUUUCUAAGGUAAACAGCCUGAAAUAUUUUCAUACUCCAAAGCAAGAUUUUUUUCCAAGUUGCCUUGUAAUCCUGAGUAUCGUUUUUAUGAUCAACUGAACAUGACCAUGCCUACUUCCCAUAUCAGAAAGGUGGAGGAAUUUAAUAACAAAUAAACUCCCACAGAGCAGCUGACACAGAGUAGGUGUACCCAGUGGAUAUAACCAAUUCACCUCUGGCAAAAGCAUUUAUUUUCCACAGCUCAGGCACUUGCAAUGCUUAGAUAGUCUGUUGCUUGGGGAAUACAGAAUUGGACAGCCAGGACAUCCCAACAAAGAGUGAAACUGAUACUCCCUGUAUGUCCACUGUAUCUUCCCCAAAUAGCACCUAUGCAACCCGGAUUUUACUUUUAUCCUGUACCAGCUUCAGCUAUGACCAAAUCCAAUUAUUCUGAUUUUUAAAACUAUGUUACAAUAGACCUAGCAAAACAGGGCAAUUAGAUGUCACUGCAGACACCACAGGGCGCAACAGGCUAGAAAUAUUGCCCCAUUCUCUUCCUUCAUGACUGCCAUUCCUAUUACUGCGGAGUCAAGUUGUUGAGUUGUUAUUUCCAGUCAAUCAUCUCUGUCUCUUUAUUCAUAAUAUGCUGCAGGCAAACCUUUUAAAACUGUCCAGGCAUUUUGGUUUUAUAGCAUCAGGUUGUAUGUUAUCAGAGUUGGUAAGUGAAACCACAUGUAAUAAUGAUAAUAAUAAUAAUGUCUUCUGCAAGGGGGUGGGGACUGUAAUGUUGGUUGAGGGUAAUAAUUUUUCACCAUAUGUGUAACUAAUCAGAAGCUAAUGUGACAAAAUGUUGUAUCCCUGAAGAGAAACAUAGAUAACAACAAGAAGGUCAUAGUUCUCUCUUUAUUCAAAAAGUCAUUCAGAAAUUUUGACCUCUUACAUUCAAACUAGUUUGGUUUAUCUAAUUUGAUAUUUCCCUCUAUAAGGUUACAAUGUAAUUUAUGAAACCAAAUAUUGUGAUACACCGGACAAAGAUUCUUUGACCAAACAGAUAUUUCUAUUUGUGAAUGACUUUUGAAUUUCACUUUUAUGCUUUUAUCUGUUUCUUAAAUUCAAUAUAAUUGAUGAAGUUUUCAUUCAUUUAAAAUUGCAGUUACCCUAUUCUGUGAACAAACAAUUGUUCUAUGAAGUACUAGUUAAGUUUCAGGCAUCUGCAGAGUAUAUUAGUGUCUGAUUACUACUAUUUUUUACCCAAAGUUAGCAGGUUUGUGUAUAAAAUAAUCAAAUGAAAAAUAUGAUCGUGUACACUAGUGUUUAUAUCACUUUAAACUUUUGGAUUCUUGUAUGCAGCUGAAUUGGACGUUCCUCCUUUUUAUGUUGUAUUGAAGUGUACUUUAAAUUACAGAAUUAAAUGCUCAAAGCAGAAACCUUGUCAGUUGCAAUGUCACUGAAUCAAAUGCUGUAAAGAUGAAGUAGCCCUGCUGUUAUUUCUGUCAAAGCCUUCUGGCUAUACUUCACAUUUGGUGCCUUUAUUUGUUCCUCUAUUUCUAUUUUGCUAAGUAAAAUGUUGAAGCAACAGCACACACUGUGAAACACAGACUGUAAAUAUAAGUACUCAACUCAGGCAGAGGUUGAACAUAUGAAACAAAUGUCACAUGAUUUGGAAUUCUCCCCAAUUUAGCAAAUAAA